GCAAGUCGAACGAGAACGGCUCUAGCUUGCUAGAGUGUCAGCUAAGUGGCGGACGGGUGAGUAAUGUAUAGUUAAUCUGCCCUUCAGAGGGGGAUAACAGUUAGAAAUGACUGCUAAUACCCCAUACUCCUUUAUAGUAAUCUAUAUUGGGAAAGUUUUUUCGCUGAAGGAUGAGACUAUAUGGUAUCAGGUAGUUGGUGGGGUAAGAGCCUACCAAGCCAAUGACGCCUAGCUGGUCUGAGAGGAUGAUC
rnacentral:rRNA from 1 species